rnacentral:lncRNA from 1 species
GCCUUUUAUGCAAUUACAUAAAGUUUUGAUACUUUUGUGUAUUUGCACUUUGGCCCAAAAGUUUAUGUUUUUACGUUUAGGUCCAAAAACGCUAAAGGACAAAUUGUUUUGCUCCUUUAAUGAAGUUUUUACAUUGUUUAAUUUUUGGGUUCUAGUGUAAUUACAUGAAGUAGUGGACUUUUGUGUUCUUACAAAGAGUGACCCCAAAAGUUUAUGUUUUUGCAAUAUUGCCCAAAGGUUGUGGUAAUUGCAUUUUGGCCCAAAUUAGGUAGAGAACAAAAUUGUUUUGUCUCUUUAAAUGAGAAUUGGAUUUUCAUUUCAUUUAACUCCAUUUAAAUCACUUUUAUGGAUACAAAAACCAAAUGAAAAUGUUGCAUUCAAUUUAAUUAGUUAAAGUGUUAAUUAAUUAAAGGAUGAUUAUGAACCCAAGCCUAAUAUAAUUGAGCU